rnacentral:lncRNA from 1 species
CUGGCCUGUACUCAGAUCUUCGCGGAGCGGAUCAGCGGCCGGAGCGUUUGGCGGACUCUGCGUGGACUUGGAGCUCACAGCGUCUUGCGACUUGGAAGCGGAUUCAGAGGACAGGACAGAACACUUGGGCAAGUGAAUCUCUGUCUGUCUGUCUGUCUGUCUGUCUCAUUGGUUGGUUGAUUUCCAUUUUCUUAAGGGGCACAUACCUCACACCGCACACACACAAACACACACCGCACACACAAACACACACACACACACACGCGCACACACACACUCCUUCCUUCUGCGAGUUAGAAAAUUGGUACGGGCCCCUGGGAGCUGCAGGUUUCCUAAUCAUGUCUGCACCUAAGAACAGUAGGGUCUUGUCUGGCUCUUCUUAUGAACGGUCCCCCAGCUGGGACUCCCCAAGGUCCAUGCGAGCCUCACCCAGCUUCUCCCUCUCCCCUCUCAGAAACUCAGGCUUAAGGGGAAGCUCCUCACCAGGGAUCCGGAGCUACCAUUCACCAUCCCCUAGGGCUUCACCACACUCACCUCUGUCAUCACCAGAAUCCCACAAGCUCCCAUUUCCCUGUCCUCACCGUGAUGGGCAAUCAAUGAAGCCAUUGGGCUCUCCCGUGUCCUCCUCUGAGGAUUCCUCAGAGUCCCCACGUUCAUCAAUAAUAUACCACAUGCUCUUACUGCCAUCACCCAGCAGCUCACCCCCAGCUCUCGGGGGGUCUCCUGUGUCUCCCAGCUACUCUCCAAACAACCCCAGAUUUCAGCUGGAGUCAGCCCCCCACACCCAGGAAUCACCUACAAACUCACGAGCCUCACGGUGCUCCACCCCUGUGUCUUUCAUCUCUUCACCCCCAGGCCUCAGGGACUCUCCUGUGGCUCCCAGUUACUCUUCAGCCAUCCCCAGGUUCCUGCGGGAGCCAGCCCCAUGCACCCAGGAGUCCCCCAGAGACUCACAGGUCUCGGGAGAAUAUGAGCGGUCCCCCAGCCCUGACUCCUCAAGAUUCAUGCCUGCCUCACCC